rnacentral:rRNA from 1 species
GACGAACGCUGGCGGCGUGCCUAAUACAUGCAAGUAGAACGCAGUUGCGAACGGGUGAGUAACGCGUAGGUAACUGCCUCAUAGCGGGGGAUAACUAUUGGAAACGAUAGCUAAUACCGCAUACUGUGAGCUGGACCUGCGUUGUAUUAGGUAGUUGGUGAGGUAAAGGGUCACCAAGGCGACGAUACAUAGCCGACCUGAGGGGGUGAGCGGCCAAACUGGGAAUGAGACAAGGCCCAGGCUCCUAAGGGAGGGCGCAGGAGGGAAUCUUCGGCAAAGGACGGAAGGCUGACCAAGGAAAGCCGCGGGAGUGAAGAAGGGUUUCGGGGCGGAAAGCUAUGUUGUUAGAGAAGCGGUAACUAAACAGAAAGGGACGGCUAACUACGUGCCAGCAGCCGCGGUAAUAC